rnacentral:rRNA from 1 species
CCUACGGUGGGCAGCAGUGAGGAAUAUUGGUCAAUGGGCGGAAGCCUGAACCAGCAAAGUAGCGUACGGGAUGAAGGCCCUACGGGUCGUAAACCGCUUUUGCACGGGGAUAACACCCUCAACUUGGGGAGGUCUGAAGGAACCGUGGGAAUAAGGGCCGGCUAAUUCCGGGCAAGCGGCCGCGGUAAUACGGAAGGCCCGAGCGUUAGCGGGAUUCAGUGGGGUUAAAGGGAGCGUAGGCGGGCGUUCAAGUCAGCUGUAAAAUCGCGCGGCUCAACCGCGCCCCGCAGUUGAAACUGGACGCCUUGAGUUCACAACAGGCAGGCGGAAUUCGUGGUGUAGCGGUGAAAUGCAUAGAUAUCACGAGGAACCCCGAUUGCGAAGGCAGCCUGCCGGGGUGCGACUGACGCUGAGGCUCGAAGGUGCGGGUAUCAAACAGGAUUAGAUACCCGAGUAGUC